CCUACGGGAGGCAGCAGUGAGGAAUAUUGGUCAAUGGGCGCGAGCCUGAACCAGCCAAGUAGCGUGAAGGAUGACUGCCCAACGGGUUGUAAACUUCUUUUAUAAAGGAAUAAAGUGAGGCACGUGUGCCUUUUUGUAUGUACUUUAUGAAUAAGGAUCGGCUAACUCCGUGCCAGCAGCCGCGGUAAUACGGAGGAUCCGAGCGUUAUCCGGAUUUAUUGGGUUUAAAGGGAGCGUAGAUGGGUUGGUAAGUCAGUUGUGAAAGUUUGCGGCUCAACCGUAAAAUUGCAAUUGAUACUGGCAGCCUUGAGUGCAGUUGAGGUAGGCGGAAUGCGUGGUGUAGCGGUGAAAUGCUUAGAUAUCACGAAGAACUCCGAUUGCGAAGGCAGCUUACUAAACUGCAACUGACAUUGAUGCUCGAAAGUGUGGGUAUCAAACAGGAUUAGAUACCCGAGUAGUC
rnacentral:rRNA from 1 species